rnacentral:tRNA from 1 species
GGGUUUGUGGGUUAGCUUGGCCUAUACUCGGGCGUUUGGGACGCUUGGACCCCAGUUCAAAUCUGGGCAGACCCACCA